CCUACGGGUGGCAGCAGUGGGGAAUAUUGGACAAUGGGGGGAACCCUGAUCCAGCGACGCCGCGUGAGUGAAGAAGUAUUUCGGUAUGUAAAGCUUUAUCAGCAGGGAAGAAAGAAAUGACGGUACCUGACUAAGAAGCCCCGGCUAACUACGUGCCAGCAGCCGCGGUAAUACGUAGGGGGCAAGCGUUAUCCGGAUUUACUGGGUGUAAAGGGAGCGUAGACGGUUACGCAAGUCUGGAGUGAAAGGCGGGGGCCCAACCCCCGGACUGCUUUGGAAACUGUAUAACUGGAGUGCAGGAGAGGUAAGUGGAAUUCCUAGUGUAGCGGUGAAAUGCGUAGAUAUUAGGAGGAACACCAGUGGCGAAGGCGGUCUGCUGGACAGCAACUGACGCUGAGGCGCGAAAGCGUGGGGAGCAAACAGGAUUAGAUACCCGAGUAGUC
rnacentral:rRNA from 1 species